rnacentral:rRNA from 1 species
GUCAUGGUCAGGAUGAACGCUGGCGGCGUGCUUAACACAUGCAAGUCGAACGAAGCACUUUAUUUGAUUUCCUUCGGGAUUGAUUAUUUUGUGACUGAGUGGCGGACGGGUGAGUAACGCGUGGGUAACCUGCCUUGUACAGGGGGAUAACAGUUGGAAACGGCUGCUAAUACCGCAUAAGCGCACAGCAUCGCAUGAUGCAGUGUGAAAAACUCCGGUGGUAUAAGAUGGACCCGCG